GAGAGGAGCAGAGGGUCUGAGCUGGUAACCCCCUGUGCCUUCCUGCCUUGGGAAGGUUUUCUGAUCUAGAUUCCCAUCAUGCUCUGGGCAUCCCUUCUCAUCACCCUGCUCACUUACUGCUCAGGUACCAAGGAAACCUGCAUUUGCCUUUGUGUGUAUUUGAACAAUCAGAGACUCCCUUUCUGAUGAGAUGCUUCCUUCCCUUUGCAGGUUCCUUAGUAAGGCAGCCUCCAUCCGUCUCCGUGUCUCUGGGGCAAGAUGCUCAAAUCACCUGUUCAAGGGAUAAAUUGGACACUGUCACUCAACAGUGGUUCCGGCAGAAACCUGGCCAGACCCCGGAGCUGAUAAUCUACGGUGGGAGCAACAGGCCCAGCGGGAUCUCAGACCGAUUCUCUGGCUCCGUGUCUGGCAAGACAGCCACGUUAACCAUUGCCAGAGUUGAGGUGCAGGAUGAGGCAGACUAUCACUGCUUGCUCUGGUGGGACGGCACACAGCACUGG